GAUGAACGCUGGCGGCGUGCUUAACACAUGCAAGUCGAACGGUGAAGCCCAUCUUGCUGGGUGGAUGAGUGGCGAACGGGUGAGUAACACGUGAGUAACCUGCCCUUAACUCUGGGAUAAGCCUGGGAAACUGGUUCUACUACCGGAGAGCAGCGUCCACCGCAUGGGGGGCGCUGGACAUAUGUCUCGGGUUUGGAUGGACUCGCGGCCUAGCAGCUGGUUGGUGAGGAACUGGCUCACCAAGGCGACGGAGGGUAGCCGGCCUGAGAGGGUGACCGGGCACCAUGGGACUGAGACACGGCGCAGACUCCAACGGGAGGCAGUAGUGGAGAACAUUGUACAACGGGGGCGCGUGUAAUGUAGAGACGCCGCGUGUGGGAUGACGGCCUUUGGGUUGCAAAACGAUUUCAGCAAGGAAGAAGCGACAGUGACGGUACCGUAAGAAGAAGCACCGGCUAACUACGUG
rnacentral:rRNA from 1 species